rnacentral:rRNA from 1 species
UACGAGAGGGGCUAAUGUUGUUCGGAAUCACUGGGCGUAAAGGGAGCGUAGGCGGGUGUUUAAGUUAGGUGUUUAAUCCCAGGGCCCAACCCUGGUCAGGCACCUAAAACUGGACAUCUUGAAUAGUGGAGAGGACGAUGGAAUUGGGGGUGUAGCGGUGGAAUGCGUAGAGAUCCCCAAGAACACCAGUUGCGAAGGCGGUCGUCUGGACACAUAUUGACGCUGAGGCUCGAAAGCAUGGGGAGCAAACAGG